rnacentral:rRNA from 1 species
GACGAACGCUGGCGGCGUGCUUAACACAUGCAAGUCGAACGCUGAAGCCCUUUCGGGGGUGGAUGAGUGGCGAGCGGGUGAGUAACACGUGGGUAAUCUGCCCUGUACUUCGGGAUAAGCCUUGGAAGCGGGGUCUAAUACCGGAUAGGACCUGUCCUCGCAUGGGGGUGGGUGGAAAGUUCCGGCGGUAUGGGAUGAGCCCGCGGCCUAUCAGCUUGUUGGUGGGGUAGUGGCCUACCAAGGCGACGACGGGUAGCCGGCCUGAGAGGGUGGCCGGUCACACUGGGACUGAGACACGGCCCAGACUCCUACGGGAGGCAGCAGUGGGGAAUCUUGCGCAAUGGGCGAAAGCCUGACGCAGCAACGCCGCGUGGGGGAUGACGGCCUUCGGGUUGUAAACCUCUUUCGACAUCGACGAAGGGGCCCUGUUGUGGGGUUUUGACGGUAGGUGUAGAAGAAGCACCGGCUAACUACGUGCCAGCCGCCGCGGUAA